CAAAGGAGCUUCGGGCCUUCGGUGUGUAUCAUUUAUUACAUUUGAUUAGUUAAGCUCCAUAUUAAUUUUUUUUUGUUUCCUUUUCAAAAAGUUGAAGGCCGACGGUGAUCGGGAAUUUAUGUUUUACCGGAAUCAUAGCGCCGAUAUGUUGCUCCGUCCCGAUGAACUCAACCUCGAUCUCAUCAGAUCGCUCUGAUUCCGUUGAGUGAGUUCUCGGAAGCUGCAGUGAUGAAGAAGUAUGGAGUGAAGCCAGAUGCUGAAACCCUUGACAUUGAAACACAACCCUUGUGUUUGCUUUGCAGAUUAGCAUCAACACCAGCAAUGUUUAAUAGUACAUUGACUGAAGAUGAAUCAUUCUUGUACCCUGCUGAUGGGGCUAUCAUGAUAACAUGGGCUACAAGAGACGGUCUUCUGAGACACGUGUUACCCUUUGGCCGUUCAUCUCUUUGAGAAGAGAGAGAGAGAGAGAUGAAGCUAUCGCAUCGAUGGCGGAAGGGGCGAUGAUCCCCAACGAUUGAAGAAGAUUGCGGCGGCAGCCUAUGACUACGAUAACGACGCUCAAUGGAAGGAUUACUGGUCCAAUAUCCCGAUCCCUCCUCACAUGGCUUCUCCCCCCGAGGUCGUCUAGCACUACAAGUGCAAAUUCUACCAACGCUACAUGGUCCGUACUGUCUCCCCCCUCUUUAAACACUCUUGAAUUUGAGAUUUAAGUCUUCACACUCUUGAUUUCGAGUUUGGUUUGGAGAUUUUGCGUGAACUUUGAGAUCUUAGGUUGAACAAUUUGAAGUUUAGAUGUUCAUCUUUGUGUUUGCUAAUGCAAAUGAACAACAGGCUCGUUCGCGGAACUCUGGUGAAACAUUUAUAUAGUCAUUAAUUUAGUUUAUUCUUAUAUGGGAUAACGUUUCUUUUGUGGGCGAAACAUCCGUGGGUGGUAUUCUGUGUGAGGUCAGUAGCAAUUUUUGUUUUGUUAAAUGGACAAAAUCAUGGUUAAUUACAUUAAGCCAGAGAGAGCUCUUUGCCAAGGAAAUUCGCUUUCACCGUUUCAUGUCAGUGUGUUGCCUUACUUCAUAUAGUGGAUCACACAAAAAAAAAGUGAAUUUAAUUUAGCUAUUAGGUCUAUAAUAAAAAAAGUUUGAUGAAACAGUCAGUGGAGAAAUUGUGUUGUUGUUUCAGUUUCUUAUUGGGUUCCUCCGAAAGAAGGUAGAUUGCUGUAUUAAAGACUACAUGUUUCAGACUCAUGAAUAUAAUUGAUUCCCAUCUUGUGUCGAGCACUCGAACAAGUAGCCAAGUUCUUGAGGCGUAACUUCACUCGCUCCACCAUAUACAGGAAGUACUUGGAAGACCCUUGUGUGUGGGUGGAGUCAAAUACAACUACCCUCAACAUCCUCUCAUCGCAAGCUGAGAUAGCCAUUGGCUUCCUUCUGAUUACCUCUCUGUUCGCGUACGCUCUUUCUUCCUUUCAGAAGCGAUAUAAUUAGCUAUUGUCAAAAUGUUGCUUAGAACACUUCGAAAUGAAUUGAGUUCACAAUUGAAUCUUCUUUCAAUUUUUUUUUAAGAACCCUUAGUUAAGAUACUAGCAUUGGAGCACAUAAAUCUUGGUGUCUCUUAACUAAGUCUCUUAACUCACUUUUACUACUUAAAAAAUAUUAAAAAGUAACUAAGAGACCCUAAAAGGGUCUUUGGGUUAAUGAUGCUCUUACACUCUAAAAUCAUCACCCCUUUACGAACUCUCUAUAUCGUUAUACUCUUGUUAUAUCACGUAUGAAAAGGUUUGUCAGUAGAUAGCACAAUAAUGCUUUGUUACGAAAUCAAAACUGUUCAUCUCUUUUCUUCCACAUUUUCUUCGUUUAAUCUGUUGGUACCUUUUUUCUCUUCUCGCGAGAUCUCCACUGAAUUGUCUAGUUCACUCUCACCGGAAUCAAGUGUUUUUUCGUGUUAAGCUUCACUUGUCGUCGUCUGCAACCGCCUCCGACUCGCCAUGAACAUGAGCUUUGACUUCUUCUGUCAACCGUCGCGUCUAAAUGUAGAUUGUCGCGUCAAGUUUAUCCCUUUCACGGUCGUGCUUCACCCUUCACCUCUGUUUACGUCGAGUUCGAGACCGUCGCGAGAUUCACAUGGCUUACUCCUCUGUCACCGCAUCUUCGGCCGCCUUGCUCUAACGUCGUCGUCAUGCUCGGAAUCAAGCCUCGCCGUUGUGCUCAUCCUUGCCGCCGCCAUCUAGUUCGGCGAAGAGAAAGGUUGAUUUCUCCUGGUGAUUUUAUAUGUUUUUGCACAACAGGUCCCUGACAUUUUGGUUCUUUUCAAUUUCACUUUUGUAGAAUACGGUUUUUGUGAUUGUUUGAA